rnacentral:rRNA from 1 species
GAUGAACGCUGGCGGCGUGCCUAAUACAUGCGAGUCGAGCGAACGGACGAGAAGCUUGCUUCUCUGAUGUUAGCGGCGGACGGGUGAGUAACACGUGGAUAACCUACCUAUAAGACUGGGAUAACUUCGGGAAACCGUAGCUAAUACCGGAUAAUAUUUUGAACCGCAUGGUUCAAAAGUGAAAGACGGCCUUGCUGUCACUUAUAGAUGGAUCCGCGCUGCAUUAGCUAGUUGGUAAGGUAACGGCUUACCAAGGCAACGAUGCAUAGCCGACCUGAGAGGGUGAUCGGCCACACUGGAACUGAGACACGGUCCAGACUCCUACGGGAGGCAGCAGUAGGGAAUCUUCCGCAAUGGGCGAAAGCCUGACGGAGCAACGCCGCGUGAGUGAUGAAGGUCUUCGGAUCGUAAAACUCUGUUAUUAGGGAAGAACAUAUGUGUAAGUAACUGUGCACAUCUUGACGGUACCUAAUCAGAAAGCCACGGCUAACUACGUG